CACUCUCUGUAAUAAUAGAAAGCAAUUCCUGCUCCAUGCCUAUAAAUAGCCGCAGAUAUCCUGUGCUAAGGUAGCACAAUCACUUGCCUUUCAAUUGGAGGAUCGUAUGAAAGGAUCCAUGACUUUUCCACUCUAUCUUAUGCUCUUUACAAAAUUUACUUAUAAGUAAAAAGGCUUAUAUUCCAAGGAAGGACGACAAGACCCUAUAGAACUUUACAAAUCGUUAAACUGGGGUGGUUUACAACAAAAUCUUGCCUGCAACUUUCCUACCAAGACCUGAUAACAUCAAUCAUAAGAACAAGUUACCUUAGGGAUAACAGAGAAAUUUCCUCUUAGAUGAUCUUUAAAAGGAAGAUUUCGACCUCGAUGUUGAAUUAAUAUAACUUCAUAACAAAAUGUUAUCCAAGUUGGUCUGUUCGACCACCAAGAUAUUACA
rnacentral:rRNA from 2 species